rnacentral:rRNA from 1 species
AUGGGUAACAUGAUCCCGGUUCACGACGCAUCGGUGAACGUGUCGGCCGACGACAUCUCGGCGUUAGCCGAUUUCGUGCUGGCGGGCUAUUCGGGGUAUUCAGGCAGUCCUCUAGUGGACUCCUUUCUUCAGAACAAAUGCACUCCAAACCUGACGCUUUCAUACUCAUUUGUAGACGGCAAUGAAACUGGGACCCAAGAUGUGGAUUGCACGGAGGGAUUAAUGCUCUGGCGCGACAGUUCGUGGCUCAUCAAUGAUGACCUAUAUAGUGGCUACACGAACAGGAGCAAUGAAUUUGCUGCAGCAUACGACUUCUUAAGCUCUGAUCAGGGCAACUUCAACUUGAUCAUUUCAUAUAACUCAACGUACGAGUUUGAUGCUUAUGAUGGCCUUCCAAUCCCUGUCUUCCAAUUUUUUGGAGGGAAUAAACCUAGACUGCUUGAAGUUCCACGGUUAACAAAUAUGGCUUCAAAUGCAUACCUUCGUUUAAUAGGCAAUGGUCUGAAGAUAUCAUUCGAUUUUGUUAAAGAAAUGCCUAGAGCAGGUCGAUCAUGGAGUACAUACGAUCUAACUUCAAUAAUAGGACCGCUGCCUUAUGUAUUGACUAUCCAGCUCCUUUUCCCGGUAAUUUUGACCAACAUUGUAUACGAGAAGCAAAAGAAGCUUAGGAUUAUGAUGAAGAUGCAUGGUCUUGGUGAUUUGCCAUAUUGGACUAUAUCCUAUUGCUAUUUUAUUCUUCUGUCCAUGCUAUACUUGCUGUCCUUCAUGGUAUUUGGUACUGUGUUUGGUUUUACAUUCUUUCGACUGAAUAGUUAUGGCGUACAGUUUGUGUUCUACUUUGCUUAUAUGAGCUUGCAAAUUUCAUUUGCAUUUCUUAUGGCAACAUGGUUCUCAAAUGUGAGAACAGCUGCUGUGACAGGAUAUUUCUACGUGUUUGGGUCCGGCCUUAUAGCAGAUUAUUUUUUCAAGCCCUAUAUCGAAGACAUUUUCAUCUCAAGAAGCUGGAUUAUACUUUUGGAACUUUUCCCUCCAUUUUCUUUGUACCGCAUUGUCUAUGAGUUUUCUCAAUCUGCAUUGCUCGUAAGUCAGAUUGACCGCACAGGGAUGCAGUGGAGUGACCUGAAUGAUCCCAAUGGAAUGGCGAGUGUUUUAACCAUAAUGAUACUCGAAUGGAUCCUAUUCCUUUUAUUAUCAUUCUAUCUGGAUCACUUUGGUUCCUUUCAAAGUGGAAUUAGAAAAGCAGUAUUACUUCUUCACUCUCGCCGGGCUGGGAACCGUUCUCAAUCUGCUCAACAGCAGACCACACAGAUUCAAGAGUUCGAAGCUUCCGUUGAAAUGGAGAGAACAGAUGUUAUCAAAGAGAGAGAGAUGGUUGGACAGCUCUUACAAGAACCAAAUAGUAGUUAUUCAGUCAUAUGUGACAACCUUAAGAAAGUGUACCCUGGAAAAGAUGGCAAUUCAAAGAAAAUUGCUGUCAGAGAGUUGUCCCUUUCAAUGGCACGUGGGCAGUGCUUUGGUGUUCUUGGUCCAAAUGGUGCUGGAAAAACCACUCUCAUCAACAUGCUCACUGGAUUUACUAAACCUACGUCUGGCACCGCGUACAUCGAAGGAAUGGACAUAAGGUUGGACAUGGACAAAAUUUAUACAGGAAUUGGUGUUUGUCCCCAGCAUGACUUGCUUUGGGAAAAUCUGACUGGCCGAGAGCAUUUGAUGUUCUACGGCAGGCUCAAGAAACUGAAGGGUGCAAAAUUAGCUCAGGCUAUCGAACAAUCUCUGAAAAGUGUGCGUUUGUUUGACGGUGGUGUUCCCGAUAAGCUUGUACAAAAAUACAGCGGUGGCAUGAAACGUCGUCUCAGCGUCGCCAUCUCUCUAAUUGGUGACCCUAAGGUUGUUUAUAUGGAUGAACCAAGUUCUGGCUUAGAUCCGGCAUCAAGGAAAGACCUAUGGAAAGCCGUCAAGUCUGCCAAACAGGACAGGGCCAUAAUUCUCACGACACAUUCAAUGGAAGAAGCUGAAGUUCUGUGCGAUCGGAUAGGAAUAAUCGCGGAUGGUACCUUGCAGUGCAUUGGAAACUCAAGAGAGCUGAAAACCAAGUACGGAGGCUCAUAUGUGCUGACGAUAACGACCAUGGCGGCUGAGGAGGCGGAGGAGGAGGUGGCAAAGCUAGUCCGGUCCAUCUCGCCGGCGGUGAGCAGGGUGUACCGCAUCUCUGGGACGCAGAGGUUUGAGAUGCCGAAGCAGGAGGUGAGUAUAUCAGCGGUGUUCCAUGUCAUGGAGGACGCGAAGAGCAGGAUGACCAUUCUUGCGUGGGGCCUAUCUGAUACGACUCUGGAGGAUGUGUUCAUCAGAGUUGCCAAGGAGAACGAGGCAUCCUCUGUCAUCUGA